rnacentral:rRNA from 1 species
AGAGUUUGAUCCUGGCUCAGAUUGAACGCUGGCGGCAGGCCUAACACAUGCAAGUCGAACGGUAACAGGAAGAAGCUUGCUUCUUUGCUGACGAGUGGCGGACGGGUGAGUAAUGUCUGGGAAACUGCCUGAUGGAGGGGGAUAACUACUGGAAACGGUAGCUAAUACCGCAUAACGUCGCAAGACCAAAGAGGGGGACCUUCGGGCCUCUUGCCAUCGGAUGUGCCCAGAUGGGAUUAGCUUGUUGGUGGGGUAACGGCUCACCGAGGCGACGAUCCCUAGCUGGUCUGAGAGGAUGACCAGCCACACUGGAACUGAGACACGGUCCAGACUCCUACGGGAGGCAGCAGUGGGGAAUAUUGCACAAUGGGCGCAAGCCUGAUGCAGCCAUGCCGCGUGUAUGAAGAAGGCCUUCGGGUUGUAAAGUACUUUCAGCGGGGAGGAUGGGAGUAAAGUUAAUACCUUUGCUCAUUGACGUUACCCGCAGAAGAAGCACCGGCUAACUCCGUGCC